UUUCCUAUUCAAAUGCUGAAAAAUAUUCAAUUGUACUAUGCUCAGGGAAUCCGAAUAUAUUGAACUGAAUAAUUUGGGCAAAACAACAACAGAUGUCACCUUGCUUUUCACAUGGGCUAAUUCUGUUGGAGCACAAUCUGAAUUUACUAGUCAUCACUUCAACUCAAAGAUAAAG